rnacentral:rRNA from 1 species
GAGGUAGUGACAAGAAAUAACAAUACAGGGCUAAUGUCUUGUAAUUGGAAUGAUGGUGACCCAAACCCUCACCAGAGUAGCAAUUGGAGGGCAAGUCUGGUGCCAGCAGCCGCGGUAAUUCCAGCUCCAAUAGCGUAUAUUAAACUUGUUGCAGUUAAAAAGCUCGUAGUUGAAUUUUAGCGUGUUCGAGUUUGCCAUUCGUUUGGCUUUUUCGAGUUCGCUUUUGGGUUUUCCCUUUUUACUUUGAGAAAAUUAGAGUGUUUCAAGCAGACUUUUGUCUUGAAUACUUCAGCAUGGAAUAAUAGAGUAGGACUUUGGUUCUAUUUUGUUGGUUAUUGAACCUUAGUAAUGGUUAAUAGGAACGG